rnacentral:rRNA from 1 species
CGCCUUGCCAGCCCGCUACAGAAACUUAAAGGAAUUGACGGGGGCCGCACAAGCGGUGGAGUAUGUGGUUUAAUUCGAUGCAACGCGAAGAACCUUACCUGGUCUUGACAUCCCGGAGACCCUUAGGAAACUAGGGGGUGCUUCCAUCUGGAAGAAUCUGGAGACAGGUGCUGCAUGGCUGUCGUCAGCUCGUGUCGUGAGAUGUUGGGUUAAGUCCCGCAACGAGCGCAACCCUUGCCUUUAGUUGCCAGCAGUUCGGCUGGGCACUCUAAAGGGACUGCCGGUGUUAAACCGGAGGAAGGUGGGGAUGACGUCAAGUCCUCAUGGCCUUUAUGACCAGGGCUACACACGUACUACAAUGGCCGAUACAAAGGGCAGCGACACUGCGAGGUGAAGCCAAUCCCGUAAAAUCGGUCUCAGUCCGGAUUGGAGUCUGCAACUCGACUCCAUGAAGUUGGAAUCGCUAGUAAUCGUGGAUCAGCAUGCCACGGUGAAUACGUUCCCGGGCCUU